rnacentral:lncRNA from 1 species
CUCCAUUCUGUCUGCAACAGAAGACUGUUCCAGUGAUUUCCUUUUCUUACUGGAUUAUUCAGAACCAGUUUCUGGUUUUGCCACCAAGAACCAGGACUCAUAAACACUCCGUUGUUAGCAACAGCCAAGCAUCUGACAAGGUCAUGAUCUCCAGGGUUGUGAGAUGGAGCUCCAUGGCUGGCUCUGAGUUCAGUGGGGAGUCUUUUUGAGAUUGUUUCCCUCUGCCCCUCCCCUAACUUGCACACUCUCU